rnacentral:rRNA from 1 species
GAAUAAGCACCGGCUAACUCUGUGCCAGCAGCCGCGGUAAUACAGAGGGUGCAAGCGUUAAUCGGAAUUACUGGGCGUAAAGCGCGCGUAGGCGGUUUGUUAAGUCGGAUGUGAAAUCCCUGGGCUCAACCUAGGCACUGCAUCCGAUACUGGCUGACUAGAGUGUGGGAGAGGAAGGUAGAAUUCCAGGUGUAGCGGUGAAAUGCGUAGAGAUCUGGAGGAAUACCGAUGGCGAAGGCAGCCUUCUGGCCUAACACUGACGCUGAGGUGCGAAAGCAUGGGGAGCAAACAGGAUUAGAUACCCUGGUAGUCCAUGCUGUAAACGAUGUCAACUAGCCGUUGGGGUCUUUAAGACUUUAGUGGCGUAGCUAACGCGAUAAGUUGACCGCCUGGGGAGUACGGUCGCAAGACUAAAACUCAAAUGAAUUGACGGGGG